rnacentral:miRNA from 1 species
UUUUGUUGUUGUUGAUGAUGUUGAUGAUGCUGAUUGGACUAAUCAUUCAUACGAAGAUGGCAAUGUUAUUGUCAUCGUCACCAUCAUCAUCAUCAUCACCA